rnacentral:rRNA from 1 species
GGGUCCUUUGGGCCCAACCUCCCAUCCGUGUCUAUUGUACCCUGUUGCUUCGGCGGGCCCGCCGCUUGUCGGCCGCCGGGGGGGCGCCUCUGCCCCCCGGGCCCGUGCCCGCCGGAGACCCCAACACGAACACUGUCUGAAAGCGUGCAGUCUGAGUUGAUUGAAUGCAAUCAGUUAAAACUUUCAACAAUGGAUCUCUUGGUUCCGGCAUCGAUGAAGAACGCAGCGAAAUGCGAUAACUAAUGUGAAUUGCAGAAUUCAGUGAAUCAUCGAGUCUUUGAACGCACAUUGCGCCCCCUGGUAUUCCGGGGGGCAUGCCUGUCCGAGCGUCAUUGCUGCCCUCAAGCCCGGCUUGUGUGUUGGGUCGCCGUCCCCCUCUCCGGGGGGACGGGCCCGAAAGGCAGCGGCGGCACCGCGUCCGAUCCUCGAGCGUAUGGGGCUUUGUCACAUGCUCUGUAGGAUUGGCCGGCGCCUGCCGACGUUUUCCAACCAUUCUUUCCAGGUUGACCUCGGAUCAGGUAGGGAUACCCGCUGAACUUAAGCAUAUCAAUAA